ACGCUAGUUGUGUAGUGGUUAGCACAUCAGCCUUCCAAGCUGGGAGCCCGGGUUCGAAUCCCGGCUAGCGUA
rnacentral:tRNA from 1 species